AACGCGAAGAACCUUACCAAGGUUUGACAUCGCCGGAAAACUCGCAGAGAUGUGGGGUCCUUUUGGGCCGGUGACAGGUGGUGCAUGGCUGUCGUCAGCUCGUGUCGUGAGAUGUUGGGUUAAGUCCCGCAACGAGCGCAACCCUCGUUCCAUGUUGCCAGCACGUAGUGGUGGGGACUCAUGGGAGACUGCCGGGGUCAACUCGGAGGAAGGUGGGGAUGACGUCAAGUCAUCAUGCCCCUUAUGUCUUGGGCUGCAAACAUGCUACAAUGGCCGGUACAGAGGGUUGCGAGACCGUGAGGUUGAGCGAAUCCCUAAAAGCCGGUCUCAGUUCGGAUUGGGGUCUGCAACUCGACCCCAUGAAGUCGGAGUCGCUAGUAAUCGCAGAUCAGCAUUGCUGCGGUGAAUACGUUCCCGGGCCUUGUACACACCGUACGUC
rnacentral:rRNA from 1 species